CGAACGCUGGCGGCGUGCUUAAUACAUGCAAGUCGAACGAGGAAUAGAGAGCUUGCUCUCUAUAGCCGAGUGGCGAACGGGUGAGUAACACGUGACCAACCUGUCUUUAGGUGAGGGACAACCUGGGGAAACCCGGGCUAAUACCGCAUAAUGUCUUAUUUUCACAUGGGAACGAGACCAAAGGGGGCCUCUGCUUGCAUGCUCUCGCCUGAUGAGGGGGUCGCGUCGUAUCAGCUUGUUGGUGAGGUAACGGCUCACCAAGGCUAUGACGCGUAGCGGGUCUGAGAGGACGAUCCGUCACAUUGGGACUGAGAUACGGCCCAGACUCCUACGGGAGGCAGCAGUAGGGAAUAUUGCGCAAUGGUCGAAAGACUGACGCAGCGACGCCGCGUGUGGGAGGAAGCCUUUCGGGGUGUAAACCACUGUCAGGAGGGAAGAAUCCCGAGUGUUCGAAUAGGGCACUCGACUGACGGUACCUCCAGAGGAAGCGCCGGCUAACUCC
rnacentral:rRNA from 1 species